rnacentral:rRNA from 1 species
UACGAAGGGAGCUAGCGUUGUUCGGAAUCAUUGGGCGUAAAGCGCACGUAGGCGGAUGUGUCAGUCAGGGGUGAAAUCCCGGAGCUCAACUUCGGAACUGCCUUUGAUACAGCACGUCUUGAGUCCGGAAGAGGUGGGUGGAAUUCCUAGUGUAGAGGUGAAAUUCGUAGAUAUUAGGAAGAACACCGGUGGCGAAGGCGGCCCACUGGUCCGGUACUGACGCUGAGGUGCGAAAGCGUGGGGAGCAAACAGGAUUAGAUACCCCUGUAGU